AGAGUUUGAUCAUGGCUCAGGAUGAACGCUGGCGGCGUGCUUAACACAUGCAAGUCGAACGAACCUUCGGGUUAGUGGCGGACGGGUGAGUAACGCGUGAGAAUCUGCCCUCAGGAGGGGGAUAACGGUUGGAAACGACCGCUAAUACCCCAUAUGCCUACUGGUGAAAUGAAUUUCGCCUGAGGAUGAGCUCGCGUCUGAUUAGCUAGUUGGUGUGGUAAUGGCUCACCAAGGCUUCGAUCAGUAGCUGGUCUGAGAGGAUGAUCAGCCACACUGGGACUGAGACACGGCCCAGACUCCUACGGGAGGCAGCAGUGGGGAAUUUUCCGCAAUGGGCGAAAGCCUGACGGAGCAACGCCGCGUGAGGGACGAAGGCCUCUGGGCUGUAAACCUCUUUUCUCAAGGAAGAAGAUAUGACGGUACUUGAGGAAUAAGCCACGGCUAAUUCCGUGCCAGCCGCCGCGGUAAUAC
rnacentral:rRNA from 1 species